UACGUAGGGGGCUAGCGUUGUCCGGAUUUAUUGGGUGUAAAGAGCUCGUAGGCGGCUUGGUAGGUCCGCUGUGAAAACUCGAGGCUCAACCUCGAGACGCCGGUGGAAACCAUCAGGCUAGAGUCCGGAAGAGGAGAGUGGAAUUCCUGGUGUAGCGGUGAAAUGCGUAGAGAUCGGGAGGAACAUCAGUGGCGAAGGCGGCCAUCUGGGACAACACUGACGCUGAAGCACGAAAGCGUGGGGAGCAAACAGG
rnacentral:rRNA from 1 species